CCGCAUCCGCAGCUCCAGCACCGGCCUCACACCGUCAACUCUGGCUGCAACUUGCUGUACGUGUGGCACGAGGUGACCGGCCUGCUGGCAGACUACCAUCCUGAACACCCUGUGCCAGCAGGCCAGACUUGCUGUACGUGUGGCACGAGGUGACCGGCCUGCUGG